CAAGCUUUCUACCCCCUGAGUGACCCAGUUGUGGUAUUUACAUAAACAUACCAUGCAAGUACACUUAACUGAUCAGAUUCGGUCUAUCAACGCACAAUGUAACGCUGUAUAUCCAAAAAUCUGUUUCAGAAAAUGCUCAGAGGAAAAUGCUCACAUUUCAAUUCUAGGGGUGGAAAAAUAAAAAAAAUUUUCUGGGGGAGAAUACCCCCAGACCCCUAGUACAUACGAUACCACACCAAACUUUUUGUCACCAACAACCAUCUGUCAUCUCUCCACACUCAAUAUAGUAUGGUCCCUUUUUGUAGAUGCCCACCCCCCAGACAAGUUCUUAAAAAAAACCUGUGUUCAAAUCAUUUCGCUGUAUGAAGACGGGUCAUGGGUUAGGGUUAUGGUAGGAC